rnacentral:misc_RNA from 1 species
CCUAGAGAUUGUAGGCUCUGCCUGCUACCUCUUACCCAUGUCUUUUGAGUACCUUCGUUUCCUCGGCGGGUCCGCCCGCCGAUUGGACAACAUUCAAACCCUUUGUAGUUGCAAUCAGCGUCUGAAUAAACUAUAAUAGUUA